rnacentral:rRNA from 1 species
GGAGGGUGCGAGCGUUGUCCGGAAUCACUGGGCGUAAAGGGCGCGUAGGCGGCCUGAUAAGUAGGGGGUGAAAUCCUGCGGCUUAACCGCAGGGCUGCCUUCUAAACUGUCGGGCUCGAGCACGGUAGAGGCAGAUGGAAUUCCCGGUGUAGCGGUGGAAUGCGUAGAGAUCGGGAAGAACAUCAGUGGCGAAGGCGGUCUGCUGGGCCGUUGCUGACGCUGAGGCGCGACAGCGUGGGGAGCAAACAGGAUUAGAUACCCUGGUAGUCCACGCCGUAAACGAUGGACACUAGGCGUCGGGGGGAGCGACCCUCCCGGUGCCGUCGCUAACGCAGUAAGUGUCCCGCCUGGGGAGUACGGCCGCAAGGCUG